UACGUAGGGUGCGAGCGUUGUCCGGAAUUAUGGCGUAAAGAGCUCGUAGGCGGUCUGUCGCGUCGGCCUGUAGAAAACCUGGGGCUUAACUCCGGGACCUGCAGCCGAUACGGGCAGACUAGAGGUUCGGCAGGGGAGACUGGAAUUCCUGGUGUAGCGGUGAAAUGGCGCAGAUAUCAGGAGGAACACCGAGUGGCGAAGGCAGCCCCCUGGGCUAACACUGA
rnacentral:rRNA from 1 species